ACGCAGAUCGCUCAGGUUUUAUACCGGCGACAUGUCCUUCAAGUGUCUGCCUUAUCAACUUUCGAUGGUAGUUUCUAAGCCUACCAUGGUUGCGACGGGUAACGGAGAAUUAGGGUUCGACUCCGGAGAGGGAGCCUGAGAAACGGCUACCACUUCUAAGGAAGGCAGCAGGCGCGCAAAUUACCCACUCUCGGAUAGAGGAGGUAGUGACGAAAAAUAACGAGACAACCCGCUCAAGCGAGUUGUCAUCGGAAUGAGUACAAUCUAAAUCCUUUAACAAGGAUCUAGCGGAGGGCAAGUCUGGUGCCAGCAGCCGCGGUAAUUCCAGCUCCGCCAGUGUAUAUCUAUGCUGUUGCGGUUAAAAAGCUCGUAGUUGGAUCUUCGUGUCAGGAACCGGU
rnacentral:rRNA from 1 species